UUAAACUUAAUUGUUUCCUAAAGAAAGGCAAUUAAAUUAUACUUUUACCCUUGUAAAAAGGGUACUUUACUUGCCUUUUUCUUAGCAAACACAUUUAUUAAAUCGACAUAACUGAGGAGGGUUUUAGGUUCAUCUUUUUCCAAUUCUAAUAGUGACAAAUCUCAAACAAUCGCUCCUGGCCUGAUUUAUAGUACAAUUAUUGAUAAAUGUUGUGCUUUUACUAUAGUGCGAGUUUGAAUGAAAUUAAAACAAAAAUAAAUUAUUUUUCUCAUACAGUUGCGGAGCUCUCUAGCUCGGGAGACCAAUAUCAUUGCUACAGCUUUAAUUUUAAACCUCUCUUAGAAAGAAGAAAGCAACAGGCUGUGAUUUAUUUAUGUUAUAUUAUUAAUAGUCUUAAGUGCCAAGAUAGACAUCUUAUAAAUUAUAUUAAUUUGUAUGUUUCAAAGGUUAAUUCUCAGUAUCAGUAUAGGGUGGAGUUAACAAAAAUAGUUGUGGAUUUUAUUGAUUUUGUGAAGAAUAAAAUGUCUAAUCGAAAUAUUUGUUCAGAGGAUGGUUGUGAAAGUCGAAUGACAGAUCAGAUAUCGUUUUUUAGGUGCCCUAAAGAUGAAGGAAGGUGUCAAGCUUGGAAAAAUGCCCUUGGAUUUAUAGGAUCCCAUAGAUACGCGGAUAAUACUCCAAUGCAAUAUUAUAACUGUUUCAGAAUUUGUAGUUUGCAUUUUAAUGAUGACAGUUUUACAAAUUCCUCGAAAACCCGAAUUCAUUCGUAGGCUAUCCCAUCGAUUGGAGUACCUACCCAAAAAGGACAUAUUGUAGACGAUGAUUUUCCUAAAGCCAGUGUUGAUGCCAUUGAUCAGAUAGACCCUUCGAAGUAAAUGAGCCAAAGCAGCCAUUACUAAAAGUUGCAGGAACCCAAACGUCAAUAAAACUUUCAGCAGAUACGCCAAAAAAAGUUUUACUUAAGGAGACAGUAAAAACACUAGAAAAAAUUAUUACUACCCACACUUGUAAAAGAAGCCUUGAAACAGAAAUGACCAUGGAUGACGUUCUGAAAUCAAACUUUUCUGAAGAAACAUGGAAUCUGUUAAAAACUCAAAUGUUAUUGCUGAAUAAGGACACAAAAGGACGCAGGUAUACCAAUGAACUUAAACAGUUUGCUCUAAGUGUGUUUUUUCUGCGUCCAAAAGCUUACAAAAAAAUUUCCACAGUUCGUCUUCACCAUAGAAAUCUACAUUAAACCGUUUUACGCAACAAUGGGUAAUUAUUCCAGCUUUUUUAAAGUAAUUGAAUGUAGAGUAAAACUGUUGCAGGAAAAAGAAAGAGACGGUAUUUGAUGCAUGGACGAAAUAUCUUUAAAAUCUCACCUUUUUUAUGAUAUUUCUAAAGACAAAAUUGUAGGGUUUGGUUCAGGGUCAUAUAAAGUUGCAGGAAGUGCAUUAACAAUAAUGACAAAGGGAAUUGCUAGCAAUUGGAAACAACCCAUUGCCUAUUUUUUUAUAAUACAUCUGCACCUGUUAAUCAUUUAAAAGAUAUUUUAUUUAAAACUGUCCGAAGGAUACACAAAACCGAUUUAAUACUUGUAUUUUUGGAGUUGUAUCAGAUCAGGGUACUAAUUUUCAAAAACUAGCUAAAAGUUCUUUAAAAAGUGACAAUAGAUAAUCCCACAUUCAAUGUUGACGAUGAAAAUUUAAAACUAGUUUAUUUAUUUGAUGUUCCCCACUUACUCAAGUCGACAAGAAAUAUUUUUUUUCAACACAUUCUUUAUUUAAAUGAAGAAGAAACAAGUAAAAAAUAUUUAGAAAUGAUGUAUAAUAUUGACAAAAAGAAGCAGUUCAAAAUGACCCAUAAAUCAACAAACGACAUUUAUCCCAAUAAAUUUCAAAAAAUGAAAGUAAAGUUAGCUUCGCAGGUAUUUAGCCGCUCUGUAGCGAUAGCUAUACAUACUAAUAUUGAAUUUAACGCCUUGCCAAAAGAAGCAACUAUAACAGCCAAUUUUAUAUUUAAAAUGAAUAAUCUAUUUGAUUUAUUAAAUUCCAACAACUUACAAGAUUUUCAAGCUUUCAUGGGAACUGAAAAACAAAAAACGUUAUUGUAAGAUAUGGAAUACCUUUUUAAAAACUUAAAAGUAAGAAGUUUUGAAGGAAAAAAUAUGACAAAUAGGACAAAAUUUAUUUCUGGGUAGCGGCUUACAAUAAGAUCAAUUUUAAUUCUUUGGGAAAUAUUACAAAAAAAAGGUUAUAGAUAUUUAUUUACACGUAAUCUCAAUUAAGAUUGCCUCAAGCACUUCUUUGGGGUGAAAUUAAAAGUUGUUGUGGAAAUUCAAACAAUCCUACUCCUAUUCAAUUCCGUCGAUCCUUUAAAAAGGAUUAGGAUAUUUAGAUAAUGUCGAAACAGCUAAUUGUAUAGAUGAUGGCGCUAAAGUCCUCAUAAAUUUAAAUACCGAUUUUAUUAAGAGUUGCAAUAAUAUAUGCAAUUAUUCUCCCACUAAAUAUAUUUCUCUUCGAGUUUUUACCAACGAUUAUGUAAAUUUAAAAAGCGCAGAAGGAAAUGCUUUGGUAUAGGUAGCGGGAUAUUUAUUUUUAAAAAUGUCUCUCACGUCACUCUUGUGAAAUAUGCAAUAAUUUUGCAACUGAGUCAAAUGCCCUGUUUAAUGAAAAGUUAAAAGCAUAUGAAAAUAAUACCUUAUUUGGUGGUCUAACCAUACCUCCAAAAGACAUUAUUGAGUACAUAAUAAAAUUAGAAAGUAUUUGUAUCGCUAAAUUUAAUAAAUCAUCAGCGCAAGAAGCAAUUGGCUAUAAUCUUAAAAAACUAUUUUCUAACAUUACCUUUAAGCAUCUCUGUAAUGAAUUUCCCAUUGGCUAUUUUUUAAGUUUAUACAUAAGGGUGCGUAUUUAUUAUACAUUAAAAUUUAUAAAUGCCGAUUUAAAAAGAAAAAUCUAAAAAAAAAGGUAAAGAUGUUUAUGUAAGCAAGCUUAACAUAUUAAAACAUUUGUAAAUACUCAUAGUACUUAUGUAUCAUACUAAAUUCGUAUUUAGGUUAAAAAAUAUGUUUAGAAUGAAGUUAUUAUAUCAAUAAAAUGGCCAGCCUCUCCGUCCAUUUAUAAUGUACCUACUUAUUUUAAUAAAACAUUAACCAGUCUUUG